rnacentral:rRNA from 1 species
CCUACGGGUGGCAGCAGUGAGGAAUAUUGGUCAAUGGCCGAAAGGCUGAACCUGCCAAGCCGCGUGAGGGAAGAAUGUCCUAUGGAUUGUAAACCUCUUUUGUCGGGGAGCAAAAUGACGGACGUGUGGGUGUUGGAGAGUACCUGAAGAAAAAGCAUCGGCUAACUCCGUGCCAGCAGCCGCGGUAAUACGGAGGAUGCGAGCGUUAUCCGGAUUGAUUGGGUUUAAAGGGUGCGUAGGCGGGUCAUCAAGUCAGCGGUAAAAUCGUGGAGCUCAACUCCGUCGAGCCGUUGAAACUGGGGAUCUUGAGUGCGCGAGAGGUAUGCGGAAUGCGUGGUGUAGCGGUGAAAUGCAUAGAUAUCACGCAGAACCCCGAUUGCGAAGGCAGCAUACCGGCGCGCGACUGACGCUGAGGCACGAAAGCGUGGGGAUCGAACAGGAUUAGAUACCCGAGUAGUC